AUUGAACGCUGGCGGAAUGCUUUACACAUGCAAGUCGAGCGGCAGCGCGGUCUUCGGACUGGCGGCGAGCGGCGAACGGGUGAGUAAUACAUCGGAACAUGCCCAGUCGUGGGGGAUAACACUUCGAAAGAAGUGCUAAUACCGCAUACGUCCUGAGGGAGAAAGCGGGGGAUCGUAAGACCUCGCGCGAUUGGAGUGGCCGAUGUCAGAUUAGCUAGUUGGUGGGGUAAAGGCCUACCAAGGCAACGAUCUGUAGCUGGUCUGAGAGGAUGAUCAGCCACACUGGGACUGGGACACGGCCCAGACUCCUACGGGAGGCAGCAGUGGGGAAUUCUGGACAAUGGGGGCAACCCUGAUCCAGCCAUUCCGCGUGAGUGAAGAAGGCCUUCGGGUUGUAAAGCUCUUUCGGCAGGAACGAAACGGCGAGCUCUAACAUAGCUCGCUAAUGACGGUACCUGAAGAAGAAGCACCGGCUAACUACGUGCCAGCCGCCGCGGUAAUAC
rnacentral:rRNA from 1 species